rnacentral:lncRNA from 1 species
AGGAGUCUGUGUGCAGGAGUCUGUGUGCGUGUUUGGCUGGUAUUGAGGGUACGCUCCCUGCCCCUCGUCUCGUCCUCGCACCCUGUCCGAGAGUCUGGGUGUACGCUUUGCCCCUUUGUUUGAAGGCCCCCUGGGCAUUUGCGGUCCUCGGGUACUUGCGAAUGCGCGGCUCCCUGCUUCUUAGGUUGGUUUAAAGUCAACCGCUUUAGCAUGUAUGGCUACUGAU